ensembl:lncRNA
ACUGACACUGCCUUCUAGAGGGACGAGGAAGUUCAACACAAACCUGGCCAAUCCCAAGGCAGUAUCAGGGUGGGUUUUGUUCGAGUUUCUCCAUCUGCAAUCCAGCAGCAUAGCCUUCUGUGGGAGAUUCACCCAGAGGGACUGAAAUGUUUUGGCCAAUCCACACUAGCAGUCAUUGGGCUGAAGUUUUCUUUGUCUCCCAGGAUGGAGAAAUUGGACUGAUUCCUCAGACAAGGAAGAGAGCCAGGUGCAGAGGAAACCCUUGUUGUCCUGUGGUGCAGAGGUGUUAACACAGCCAGCUUCAAGAGGAGAGCAUGCCACCAGCAUGUGAUACAUCCUUGGCUCGCAGCUCAGACUACAAAGACCCCUGGGGCUCCAGUUUGCCACUCCAAUCAAGAAGGGAACUGUUGCCACUAUACAUAACAAAAAAUUUGCUCUGUAAAAAGACCUUUCAACUCAAACUUGUUGCUCACAGUUAUGCCUGGGGGACUCUAUGGCUUUAUUUCCGGGCAGUCCUAAGAUUGUAUGCAAAGAAAACCCUCCACCCUCCACCUUCCUCAGGAGCAGGAAAAGGGUGGAGAGGGGUUCCAGACUUCAAACACCAGACAUGGUGGGAUUCAUAUUUAAUCAUUUAAUUCCAAAUGCUCUUGUGCUUUGGCAUCUUCAGGUACCAUCAUACAAAGAUAAAUGUUUGGCCAUCACAUCCAUACUGCAUAUGGCCCAAUUUGUCCUCAUAUAACUAGUUCAAUUUUGAAAAUACAGAAGUCUAAGGACUCUGGCUCUAUUUCUAUGAUGUGCUGCAUUGCUUGCAGUUUUUCUUAGGGGCUUUCCUUUCUCUUCAUACUGCAGGCAAAUAAGAGGGAAAAUCACACAGAUGAUCAGCAAUGCCUGAUCAGGCCACAAGCAGGAGUAGUUCUUGCACCUGUGGAACCACCAAGGCAGAUGUUGGAGAGUAGCAGGUGGAAAAAGGGCCAUCAGAUAAAGUCACACAAAAAAAAAGGAUGGGAAGAGGAGUACGAUUGAACUAUUUAUAGGGAGAGAAAAAAACACAGAAACAUUCAAAUUAAACAGCUAAGAAGUUAUUAGGGGGUGUUAUGUUAACACAUAACACAUUACAUAUAGGCACAUUAACACCUUCUCUCAAUCCUAGAAGCCAAGAAGGCUCAUGCCAUUUCUGCCAGCGUCUGAGUGUGCAUUAGGAAAAGGGUUGUCUGAGUACUGCUAUGCAUAAAAGUCCACAUAGACAAACUGUGUCUGUCUAUGCAGGAGGGCAUAAAAGUGAGGGUGAUUUACAUUUACAUAUAUCCAGCAGAGAUGUAAACCAGAGGAAUAAAGACAAAAAUCAAAAAUACAUAAUCAUGUACAGAAAAGGGAUUCGUUCACCUAAAAGGUAAAUGAAAAAUGUUCUAAAAAAAUUAAAAAUAAGAAGAAAAAUUUAAAAAUCAGUUUCAUGAUGUGGUUUGGCUAGAAGCCUGUGUAGUUCUUCUAUAUCUCUCCACCCUUCUGUUGAAUUAUAAAGGAUUAUGAAAUAUCGUGCUGACAUUGCAUUCCCAAUAUGGGAUUGUGCUAAAUAAACAUGACACAUG